GGGGAUCUGGCCGAGUGGUUAAGGCGCUGUGUUUAGGCCGCAGUGGGCAACCGCGUGAGUUCGAAUCUCACGGUCCUCA
rnacentral:tRNA from 1 species